AAAAGCCAAAAAUCUGAAACUGAAUCGCAAAUCCCCCUUUCUCUCGGGCCCUCCAUGGCGAAGGUCGCCGAGCUCUUCCUCCUCCCCUUCGAGGAAGUCUUAGAAGGCGAAGGCGACGAAGACGAAGACGUCGACAUAGAAGACUACAACCCCGAAACCCUCGACCUCCCCCCCUUCUUCUCCUUCGAUCUCCCACUCUCCCCUCCUUCGCCUACCUUCGAUUCCCCCGGCCUCAUACUCCCCGCCUUCUCUUCCCCAUCCUCCUACCCCUCGCCCCGCAGCCGCGCCGAAAUCUUAGACCCCGCCGACUUCCGCGUUCUUGAUGGGGCCGAGGACAUGGGCUCGGAUUACCUUGGCCUGGGCCCGGGGUUAGGGUUCGACGACGACCAAGAAAUCCGGGGCGGCGCAGAUUUCUUCGUCGACCGCCACGGGAGGUCCGAGCACCCUCACGACGCUCCCUCCCGCGGUGGGGAGGGCCUGCGAAUCGUCGGACCCGGAUCCGAUUCGGACUCGGAGGACGAGCAGAUUGCCGCCGGAGGCUCGAAUUCCGAUGCCGGCGGCUACCGAUCGGACGAUCUGCCGUCCCCCCUUUGUUGGGACUGCCUCCGCAUCGAGGACGACCGGAGGGGGGACCUGGAUGAGGAUUUCGAGUGGGAGGAGGUCGAUGGCCGCCUCGACGAGAGGGAGGUUCUUAGCAUGAUGGUUGGCGACGACGAGGAGUUAUCGGGAUCCACUCAAAGAGAGGAGGAGUUAUUGGACGUCGAGAUCGAUGAACAAGAGGCGAGGAACCUUAACUGGGAGGUCCUUUUGGCCGUCAACACCAUCGGUGGAAACUCGUUGAUGGAACUGGAGGAUGCCGAGUCUUAUCUCGGGGAUGAGCGCGACGAUGUCGUCGACCCCUCGGAGUAUGAGAUCUUGUUCGGGCAAUUCACCGAACAGAACAGCUCGAUCAAGGGUAGCCCUCCGGCGGCCCAAUCGGUGGUCGAGAACCUUCCGUCGGUUGUCGUUACCAAAGAAGAUGUGGCCAACGAUAUCAUCUUUUGCGCGGUUUGCAAAGAUGAGAUUUCUCUGGGAGAAACAGCGAAGCGGCUGCCCUGCUCGCAUCACUACCAUGGGGGCUGCAUUGUGCCGUGGCUUGGGAUUCGGAACACCUGCCCUGUGUGCCGCUAUGAGCUGCCGACCGAUGAUCCUGAGUACGAGAAUCAGAGGGCUCGAAGGGCCACUUGUGCUGGAUCGAUGGAGUCGUCGUCGAGGGCCAGGUUGUGGAAAUCAUCACUGCUCAAAUCACUGCCUGUCAAUUUUUUUGACUAUGGAUUGUCAUAUUUGAAGCAUUAAAUCAGAUUGUCUUUCUUUCAAUGCUUCUGGAUAUUUCAAGCUUCCUGCAAAGGCUUCUCUCUCGCAGAGGUAGGAUGGGAUUAGCGGACAGGUUCUUUCCUCUUCUUAAAACUGGUGACCCCUCUCUUUAGCAAUCAAAGGAUUUGUGUUCGAGUCUUGGGUUAUGCAUCCUUCUAUAUUUGGGCCCAGGUAAUUAUAGUGCGGGUGGCUCUCUCUCUCUCUCUCUCUCUCUCUCUCUCUCUCUCUAGCAGGUAUGUCUCUUGCCUUGCUUCACAUGUUGUGUAGCUCUGCAUGUCUCAAUAUUUGUAUAUAUGCACACUUCUAAUGCUUAUAAUGUUUCUUCUCUUGAGAGUACAUUAAGUAUUGCUGAAUCAAAAUUUGUUUGGUGAACUUGUGUGUGAAUGUGCAUGGGGACACUCCCAAAUAUUGAAAUACCGGAAGCAUGACCUUUGACUUUUAGCAAAUAUGCAAGAUAAUUGGCAGUGAGGCACAUCAUUUUGACGAGAGGAGUCUUGCUUUAUCGGAACAGAUUCUUGUAUUUACUUCAGGCUUCCUGAUAUUCAGGAAAAUGCAUUCUGCACCUGAUCUGCUAUAUAGGCAAGUUUCCACUUAGAGAGGAUUCACUCUCAAAUGGUAUAUAAUUUUGGUGAUCCAGUAACAGUGAAUUAAUUAAUGAUCCACCGGAGAAGUCUAAUCCUAAGUACAGGAAGAUGUCAGUGAUGUAUUGCUUAAAGUUGAAGUGAUUUUAGAGGUUUCAAUUACUUUUGAUCUCUUUUUAUUGUUGUUGUUGAAGCGGACUUGCUUUUAGGUUGAUGCAUCUACCCUUGCUUUAUCUUUCUCAAGAAAAAAAGCUGAUGACUUUAACAUCUGCUGGAGGCAAACCCUUUCUUUUAAAAGUGUAUUAAUUUUGGAUUCUUCUGCAAGCAGCGGACUGUGUUAUCCACCUCUUCUCUGAAAUUGGCUUAACAGUCAUAUUAUUUAGGAAUCGUUGGAAAGCACUACUUUUCUUUGAGUUGGAUCUCAGUUGCUUGUAAAUUUUUUCCAUCUCGCGGUGAUAUCUACUUGGAAAAAGAUUAUUACUUUCUAUAUUAUAAAGAGUUUGAAUGCUAAACAGGUCGUGGCACCCAACCAUCUAACCUUUUUAUGAGUAUAUUAUAAAGAGUUUGAACGUAAGACAAGAGCUGGACCUCAACCAUCUAACAUUUUUAUGUUAGACAAGUUUGAAUGCUCCCCGACGUCGUCGUCCGCUUGCUUAACGAAGGGUCGGGGGACCCGGAGCGGUAGCCGGGAGAGGGAGAAGAAUCGGCGGCGGCGGAGAUGGGAAGGGAGGUGGCUUAGAGAUGCGUAGACGGCUUGAUCAUGGAGAUGUUGGCUUACUGCGACCGCUUCUACUUCUCCAAGCCUGAGCUCGGCGCUCGCUGGAUCAAGGCCAUCGGCUUCUAGGUCGGCCAUCAGCUCACUUGCCUCUCCUCUAGAUUUUUUUUUCUCAAAAAAUCGAUCAAUUUCUAUAAAAAUCGACUUCUUUUCUUCCAAUCAUGUGGGAAGUUAAAACUUGCGAAGAUAAAUCUCACUUCUUUUAAUAAGUUCUUC